GCGGCAACAGCUCAAAUUUGAAAGCUGGCCCCCCCGGGGGUCCGCGUUGUAAUUUGUAGAGGAUGAUUCGGCGAGGGCUCCCGCCUAAGUCCCCUGGAACGGGGCGUCAUAGAGGGUGAGAAUCCCGUAUGCGGUGGGCUGCCUUAGCCAUGUGAAUCUCCUUCGACGAGUCGAGUUGUUUGGGAAUGCAGCUCUAAAUGGGAGGUAAAUUUCUUCUAAAGCUAAAUACCGGCCAGAGACCGAUAGCGCACAAGUAGAGUGAUCGAAAGAUGAAAAGCACUUUGGAAAGAGAGUUAAAAAGUACGUGAAAUUGUUGAAAGGGAAGCGCUUGCAGCCAGACUUGUCCGCAGUUGCUCAGCCGGUCUCCUGACCGGCGCACUCUUCUGCGGCCAGGCCAGCAUCAGUUCGGGCGGUCGGAUAAAGGCCCCGGGAACGUAGCUCCUCUCGGGGAGUGUUAUAGCCCGGGGUGGAAUGCGGCCAGCCUGGACUGAGGAUCUCGCUUCGGCUAGGAUGCUGGCGUAAUGGCUGUAAGCGGCCCGUCUUGAAACACGGACCAAGGAGUCUAACAUCUAUGCGAGUGUUUGGGUGUCAAACCCAUGCGCGUAAUGAAAGUGAACGGAGGUGGGAACCCUCGCGGGUGCACCAUCGACCGAUCCUGAUGUCUUCGGAUGGAUUUGAGUAAGAGCAUAGCUGUUGGGACCCGAAAGAUGGUGAACUAUGCCUGAAUAGGGUGAAGCCAGAGGAAACUCUGGUGGAGGCUCGCAGCGGUUCUGACGUGCAAAUCGAUCGUCAAAUUUGGGUAUAGGGGCGAAAGACUAAUCGAACCAUCGACUACUAGGUGGUUAAGAGGUGGCUGAAAGUGCCCACCUAGUCCCCCCGUCCGAGGACGGGGGGGCGACAUCGCCAAAUUGCGGGGACUCCCUUAGAGCCUCUACUACCGCGGCCGGCCGAAAGGCGCGGUGCAGCACCGGGUUAAUUGCCUAGGGUACGGUAAAAAGGUAGAGGAUUGGGAAAUCCGCAGCCAAGCGCCUAAGUCCCGCGGGAUACGGCGAAGGUUCAGAGACUAGAUGGCGGUGGGUCCGGCCCGAGGGCCGGGCCUAAGGU
rnacentral:sRNA from 1 species